rnacentral:lncRNA from 1 species
GUAAACUGUUUUUAACCCCAAAAACUUUCACACUCAAAUAUUUCUUCCUCUUGCCUCUAGACAUUUUCAAGUUUGCCUUCAUCAACUUCCCUGUGGCUGAAAUAUCUGGUUUUAUUAAAAUGCAGGCGUUUUCUUGAUAUUGUUUAUUAGGUCCAUGCAAAGGGUGAAAAAGCUAGAUAAAUUUGAGAAGAUGAUAUGAUUUUCAAUCCUGGAACUCAUGGACAGUCUGUCUUAGUUGUAAAAUAAUUUAACCUUCGAUUCUUGGUAAUAUAAUUGUCCCAAAAUUUUCAGACUUGCAUACAGGAGCUCUAUACACUACACGAAGGAAAUGAUUCAAGAUGAAAAAAAUCUAUGCAACUGAAAUCCAGAUCUGUAUGAUUCUAUACAGUGUAUAUCAUAAACAGAACUUGAGAUCAAUGGAAUAAAUGCGCAACUUUGUUUUCUUUUUUCAUUAUUAUUGUAUUCUCCAUUUUUUUUAUUUUUAUUUAUUUUUUAUUUUUUAAGGUUUUGGACAAGGCAAUUAACAACCCUGAUUCAAAACAAACAGUUUCAGAGAAAACUUAAAAGGCGCUGUUGGAAACUUGUGUCAUGGUCAAGAACAGCCCAGAGAUCUAUACAUGAUGUUCAAAGGAAUGGAUGACCAUCUUUUGAGCUUGUGUCAUGACCAAGGGGAGCCUAGAGAUCUAUACAUGACAAACAAAGCAGUGUAUCUGACCUAAUUUGUCAGUUUCUCAAAGGAUUUCUCUGAAUAUAACAGCAAAGCCUUCUGCUACCUUCCAUGAGUCGGAAGCUUGAAUUGGCCUCAAAAUGGCCACGAGGAUUCUCGUCUUUUGGGUGCCAGCAACUGGGGAGUUUAUUGGUCCAUUCAAACCUGUAAAAUAUAAUUAUAUUGGUUUUAAGCCAAUGGUUUGCACAGGCAACAAUUAUCAAAAGAAAUUUUUUAUGGGAAAAUCGGAAUUGGUUAUCUUACCCUUCCAACCCUUCAAUUUUCCAUUCCUUGGUUGUAAGCAUCCACCAUUAUGGAAACAGAAAAUUUUGAAACAGCUGUUUGGUGGGAAAUAGAGUAGUGGCAUCAAUUACAACCAGCUAACUUCAUUGUUGGGGGUUGUUCUUCAUGCAUUUGCUUGUCAGGGAGGUUAAAUGAUCUGAUAUGAAGCAGCAGAUAGAGAUCAAUCAAAGAUAUCAAUUAAAUGAAUUAAAAACCCUAACAAUCCUGUAAUGACCCUCUCACAACCCGUGUAAAUAUUGUUGGGUCAAUCCAAUGGACUCCCACGUUUUUAAAACAUGUCUAUAGUACCAGGAUUUUUUUUCUUCUAUCAGUUGUGGGAAACACAUCCCUCCUCAUAUUCAACCUUUUUUUUUUUUUUGAGUUUACACAUUCAUUUAAUACACCAUCUCAUGAGUAUCCUUCUUUGGGAUUACCAAUUGAUUAAAAGUAAUAAAUACAUACAAUAAAGCCCAAACUUGUGACAUUAUUGACCCAAAAGCUUAUUUUUUAAAUAGUGAACCAACAAUAUAUAUAAAGAUGAGGAUCCAAUACAACUCAACUAAUAUUGACCAUAUCAGUUUAAUUUUCAAUAAUUAUAAAACUCAUUUCUAUUUGAGGAUUAUAAAAACUGACCUAAUUGAUUUGAUUUUCACUUCCUUAGUAUACUAACUAAUAAAAACUGAACCAAACCAAUAUUCUAGUUUUAUAUCAUUGGGUAUGUGAAAGCCUUUUUGAUACCACUUGUUGAGCCAAUAAAAGCAUUGAAACCAUUCGUUGGGUCAACGAAAGCUCUAUCUAUGCAAAUAUAUUAAUGAAAUAACAUAAAAAAUAAAGUUAAUCACACACAAAGAUAAACAAGGUUUUAACAUGAUUCAAUUGUCUACCCCCACAUAUAAGAGAUAACAUUUUAUAAUAAAAAUAUUAUGGACAAAAAAAAUUCACUAUUGCUUACCCCCAGAUGAUAAAUAACAUUAUAUAAUAGAAAAUAUUAUGCACAUAAACAAAUUCAACUAUUUGGUCUCGAAACAUUUCACAUUUCUUCACUUUUUAUAUCUCCAUCAUGAACCACAAGCUCUUUUGCUUUGUUAAGUAUCUCUCUCUUUCUUGAAUCUCAAUCUUGAAAUGUGAACCCUCUUACUCCACCAGUUGUCACUCACGCUUCCUCACAUCUCUAUCAAUCUAUAAUCUUCACAAACUCAUAUCUCUCUCAUGAUUUUUCUCCUCAUGACAUAGAUUAUUUAUAGAGGUAUUGCUAUUAAAGAAUGAUUGAAUUGAAUUGGAUCGUUUAAAAGAGAGCGAUAAAAAAAAUCAGAAUCACCAUUACUAUGUUCACGUUCCAUCACCGUUACUCUUUUAUCGCUCUCUUUUAAACUAUUCAUCUACUUCAUUGAGAUCACUAUGUGAUCAAGUUUUUCACUGAUUGCCGAAUUUCACUUCGGGUUCUGGGUGUUGGCUUCUAAGUGCUACCUGCUGUUCAUCGAAGUUGUUUUGGUGGUUCAAUGGAGUCUACAAAAGUCAUCAAGGUUAAAUAUGGGAACACACUAAGGCGUUUUAAUGCAUGCGUUGACGAAAAUGGACAACUGGAUCUUGAUAUCAAAGGAUUAAGAGCAAAAGUCAUCGCUCUCUUUAAUCUUGUGCCUGAUGCUGAAUCUUACACUAACGUAUAUUGAUGAAGAUGGUGAUGUGCAGUCAUCUUAUGGUGUAUUCACGGGCACUAUUCCUCGGACUUCCCAAGAAGAGGCUGCCCAGCAGUAUGCAGUGCCAACCCAGUACCAGGUUAAACCGGACACCUUAGUGAAUAAACCAAUUAAUAGUGAUGUCCCUCUAUUUGGAGGUGUGCCUUUACAAACAUCAGAACGCCUGGUUCAGGAAUCCCCAAGAGACUAUUCUGGUAAACUUCCUGGUGUUGUUCCUAAGGAAGAUACUGCAGAGUCUUGCAUUUCAUUUGAUCAUAUGCGUCCAAUUGAUGAGAGGAUGGAAAAUCUAAGGGUAGGCCCUGCUGAAAAUUUUGUUAAUAGUGAGCAGAGUAAAUCAUCUACUAAUAAACCUAGAAAGGAGGACGAUCAUACAGGGGAUUUGCCUUCUACUCUUCAAGCCAGUUCUGCAACCAUCCCUGGUGACAAGUGUAGCUCAUCUUAGAAUUCCAAUCCAUGCCAUGGUCCAACUAACUGUUUGGUUCCUGAGGGUGAUGAUCUGCCUGCAACAGAAGUGAAGCAACUCCUAAUAUUUGCUGGUUCUGAUGCAGCAAGAAACUUCUCAUGGAGUCAUCCUUGUGACACUACUGAUGAGGAGCUCACAUCAGUUGUAAUGGAAAACUGUCAACAUUCAGAGUUUCAGCAUGGUUCUGAAAGGCUAUUUUCUACCAGAAAAGUAAUUUCUCCAACUUCUCAGGAAAGGCUAUGUCGGGCUAUGAAUUCCACCGACUUGUGUGAUAACCUGGAACCAUACAAAUGUAAAAUUAAGUUACGCUUUGCAAAACGGACUGAGGGCAGGACUUCAUCAGCAGAACCAAAUUUUGUGAGAGAUGAAGUAGAUAUUGGUCCGAGAGGGUGUGAACAAAGCAAUAGAAAUGAAGGCACUGUUAUUUCCAAGCAGAGCAUUAGGAGAAGAAAGAAUGAUAUGAAAUGUUCCCAUCCUAAAGGCAUUCUCAAGAUUCCCCAGCUUUCUCGUGGGCUACCACAUCUUAGCAAUACAUGUACCUCCAGCCAAAGUUAUUCAGAGUGUCGUUGCAUUCUCACAGAGACGGAUGCAUGACAUUGAAUGUCUUGCAACAAAGCUCACGAGAGAGUUGAAAUCCACACACAGGACACAAAAUCAAAACAACAACUCCAUAGCUGCUUGGGCAGCAAACAGAACAAAACGCGAGUCACCUUCGAGCUAUAUAUCCAUGACAUAACUGUCCUGCCCAAAUAGUGCAAAGACAGCUAUCGAAAUUGUGAAUCUCCUUGCUUGCCCCGCCUUUGAUGUGAUGUAGGCAAUGAGACCCAUUAAGAGCCAAUUUGUGUUGAUGAUUAUGAGGAAGAGGCUUUCCUUUUUGACAUGUCAUGAUCAUUAUUAGCAAAUGCUACAUUUGUGUCUACAUUCCCGAAGAUUCUUAGAAGCAAUCUUAUCUUGGGUUAUUCAACUGUGUCAAUUUUCAGUCAGGCUCAGGAAAUUAUGAAUUAAAAAGCUUAGGGUUCGGUCAAGAUUUUGUUUUUGAAGGGUGGUUUGCCAUUGUAGUUGAAAUGGAAGACAUCAAGAAAAAAAAAAAAAGAGUUUGAAAUUAUCCAAAUCAGGGUUUAAACGGACUGAAUUGACAUUUGGCUCAAGUAUUAAAGAAAGAUCAGUGAAUCUCUAGAUUUGCGGCUGAGAUGGCUAAAAGACUUAAAAUUGUGAAAGGCAAAGUAACAGAGUUUCGAAUUAAAGCAUGCCUCAGGUUCCAUGAAAAGGAGUUCAGGUUCCUUCAGCUGGACCUAGAAGCAUUACUCCAGGUUAUGCAGAGUCUUAAACAAGGAACUAGACAAGCAAUUUUUAUGAUAAGAAACAACAGGCAUAAAUGAAAAAUUCAGAGAGAGUGAGCAAUAGUACAUGGAACCUGAUCUGAAACUGAGCCUUAUGUCUCCACUAGAAGCUUCUGUUGAUAAUUCGGGUUGUGAUCCUGAGAAACUAGAAUUGAAUUGAAGCCUCUUUUCAGAUGAAGUGGCACACUGAAACCCAAUGAACAUGGGCUCUGAAACGAAUACAUUCAGUUUCUUUCUAGACAAUCAGCGAUCUGCAGAGUUCUCCCCAUGCAAUUCGUAUCAGUAAUGUAGUCUCAAGUACAUCCCCGGACCUCACUUCAGCAUCGACUAUCUUGCAUGAACAAACUUCAUGAUUCCAAACAAUGGAAUUCAUAAAAUCAACUCAUACAAGAUUAAUUAGGGCUUUGGAAGGGGUCCCGACAUUCACGAUAUUCUCUUCAAUGUUGUUUGCUUGAUAGCUGAUUGAUUGUGCUUCCUCUUUGUGGUACGUGAGAUUAUUUUGCACUUAUUAUUAAGCAACCUUGUUUCCCAUAGAGGUGCUUUAGCUUGCUAUCCAGGUACGCUCCUUCUCACCUAUUUUCAAGAAUUCUAUGGACACGUAUGUUAUUGAUGACUAUAUUCAUACUUGAUGUGAUUCUUAGGUGCUUAGUUGUAUGCUUGAUUUGUUUGAAUAAAACAAAUGUUGUGUGUUAUAUUUCUAUACUAACUUUGAUGUUUUAUAAUAGCGUUUGAGAAACAGUUCAGGUACACACUUUGACUUUCUUUUAUAAUCAUGAUUUGACUUUUUGGCUUGACAUGAUAAUUCUGAAAUCACUUUAAACUAUCUAGGUACCUUCAAUCAAUUAAUCAAUUGUCACAUUCUCCUCGACUUAGCUAGUAGAGAUCUCUUUAAGGCUCAGAGGGGUGCUACCUCUUAUAGGUACCUUCCCAAUAGGUAACCUGAUCCCCGAACCUAGACUCGUGUUUUUUUAAAGACGCGUUUUUCCAAAAACUAUGGAGUCACUUCUUUAGGGUUUUCUUUUUUAUUUUAUUUUCCUUUUAAAAUAAAAUAAAAUAAGUGGCGACUUCGACUUUUCCAAAACUAAUUUUUCACAAAUAAAAAAACGAGUCUUGUCAACGAGUGAGGAUGGAUGUGAAAAAUGAGGGUCCACAACUACCUUAGACCCAAACGAACUAUCCACUUAGUUUUAUGUCCUUCUUUUAAACGGCGAUGAACAUAGACGAUUAUAGGGGAUGAAACGACAAUGAGGGGCCCACACAUUUCCCUUCCAUUUCCUUGUUUGGCUACCUGGAAAAAGGCCAAAAAAAUGUCUAGACUCUAGACCAUGGAUUAGAUCCAAAACCAUUGAUUGGUUUCGUCUAGACCAUGAAUUGGUAUAUUUUUUCCAUUUGGCUUUCCUUGAAAACCCUUUUUUAUUUUAAUUAAUAAUAUUUAAUGAUGAAUAUCUUAGUUUUGUAAAAAUGAUAACAUAUGUUGAUAAGAAUUACGUUUACGAGUAUUUUAAAAAUAUAUUUAUUAAAAAAAAAAAUAUAUAGCUACAUAAAAUUUAAUUCAUGCAUUUUAGUUGAGAAAAAAAAACUUAGAUUUCUUAGUUGUUUAAAAAUCCAAACAAAUCUUGAUUGUAAGUAUCAAAGUCAUAUUUGAAAGUUUUAUCAAAACAUUUUUAAAAAUUGCUUUUACUUUAAAAACUACUUUGAAUAGGUCAUAUAUGAAAAUUGUUACUAAAUGUAACUUUCUAUUCUAAACAAUACAAAAAAAAAAAAAAAAAAAAAAUGAAGUGUUUGGUAAACUUUAAAUAGAAAAUUGUAUUUUGAGAAUUUAUUUUAAAAAUAAAUUUGAGAUGUCUAUUUUUAGUAAUGUUGUUAUUAACAAUUCAAAAUAUCAAUAAUACUUUGAAAUCUUUUUUAUUAUACAUAAGUGUAUGAUACUUUCCUCAAUAAGCCAAAAAAAAUUGUUUUUUCCGUAUAAAAACAAUUGAAAGUUGUUUUUAAAUUCUUGUUUGAAUGGAUGUUUAAGAAACUAAGAAAUCUUUUUUAAGUUCAAUUAAGACCUUUAUGCCCCUUUGACUUAUUUUGUUGAAAUGGUUUAAAUUUUAAAAAAUAAAAAAAUAAAAAAUAAAAAUUCGACUAAAUAUAUUUAACUCUAUAGGUUUGAAAUUUCAUUUAAUACAUCUUCUAUCAUUUUCAUUCCUUAUUUUCCCUCACCUCCAUUUUCAUUCAAAAUAAGAGAGGUGUAUAAUAAAAUUUCAAAUUUAUAAGAGCUAAAUGUAUUUAGCCAAAACUUCAAGGAAGAUAAAUGAAAUUAAACCUAAAAAACAACUUAAUAUAGAAACCAUUAAAAUAUUUCUUAUCAUACAAAUUCUAUUUUAUUUUAUGUAAGAAAAUUUUUCAAGUUUGAGCUAAAGUAAAGAAUAGUAAGUUAUUCCAAACAAGGUUUAUGAAUUAUUCUUAUUAACUAGUUUAUGAAUUAUUCAAAAAAUAACAUAUUCAUAAAAAGUUUUAUAAGUCUACUCUUAUCGUUAUUUAUCUUAAAAGAGUAGGAGUAGGAAUUAUCUAUUAUUAAUCCAUUAUUUUGCAAAACUUAUGUUCAAACUAUCCCCUUUAUUACCACAUAGGAGUCAUGUCAUAAAAAAAAUAUGUUUUCUUGCUAAAUAAAUUAAAAUCUCAAUUGCCAAUCUAGACUUCAUUUUUUAAUUAAAGCCGCAAUUGACAAUUGAGGCUUCAUUUUUAAAUUGAAAUCGCAAUUAGCAAUUGAGACUUCAUUUUUGAAUCGAAACCUCAAUUGCCAAUUAAGGUUUUAGUUAAUUUUUUUUCCUUUAAAAUUUAAUUAAAAAUAUUAAAUUACAAAUUAUUGUUGAAAUUAAAAAUACAUACUUUAAUAAUAAAAAAUUUAUAUAUUUAAACUUAAAGAUCUAGUAUUACUUCAAUAAAAAUAAAUUGAUAUAUAAUCUUAAAACAAUAAAGUUAUAUGACACAUAAAUAAUAUAUAAAAUUAUAAAAUUUAUUAAUUUAAUAUAUUUAAUUUAUUAUAUUUUUAAGAAAUUAAUUUAUUUGUAUUUUGAAAAAUUCAUCUUUAUUGAAAUAAUAGUAUACUAGAUGUUUAAGUUUAAAUAUAUAAUUUUUUUUUAUCUUUAAAGUAUAUAUUAUUAAUUUCAACAAUAAUUUGUAAUUUAAUAUUUUUUAAUUAAAUUUUAAAAUAAAAAAUAACUAAAUCUUUAAUUGAUAAUUAAGGUUUCAGUUCAAAAAUCAAAUCUCAAUUGAGAAUUAAGGUUUCAACUUAAUUUUUUUUUUAAAAUAUAAAUUUUUUAAAUGAGAUGGCUCUAAGCGGCAAUAAAGGUACUAGUUUAAAGUGACUAUUAACGGUUGGUUGCUGUCAUUUCAAAGAUGUGAAAAGAGCUCAAACAAACAAUUUUCCAAAUUAGUUGUAACAAUAAACAACCCAACAUUUUCAAGAAAGGCAUGGAUGCCUCUCUUAUAAGUCAUGUCAUACUUCCAUUGAUAGGAAAAUCUCAAUUACCAAAGUAAGAACCAUAAAAUCAGUUGGAUUGUCUUGAAGAAGAAAGAGUGACCCAAUCCUAUGCAUGAACUAGACAAGGUAGUCCCUUCCUCAAAAUCUUCACUAUCAUCCUCAAGAAUGGUUAUGGUCUUCUCCUUGAAACAUUUGAAGAACGCCAUGCUACACAAAAAAUGAAGGUAGAAAGAGAGAAAUAAAAUAUGGGUCUAAGUUUUUAGAUGCCACUGUGCAUUUAAGUCAGAUCAAUUCGCAUGGGUGAAGACCUUAGCACUCAAGUCGUAUUAAGUGCUGAAAGUACAACACCGUGUAGCAUCAGGGCCAUAACUUAUUUGCAUAGAUACUAAGUAUUCUUCUGGUUUUAAUUAAAUGUUAAAACUUAAAACAUCACUACGCAUUCAAGUCAAGUCAAUUUGCAUAGGUGAAGACUUUAGCACAUAAGUGCCGAAAAUACAACACCACAUAGCAUUAGGGCUAUAACUUGUUUGUAUAGAUACCAAGUAUUAUUCUGGUUUUAAUUAAAUAUUAAAACAUGAAUACCACUAUACGUUCAAAUCAAGCCAAUUUGCAUCGGUGAAGACUUUAACACAUUAGUGCCGAAAAUACGACACUGCUUCGCGUCAAGGCUACGACUUGAUUACACGAGGAUCAAAUUUUAAAUAUUCAUAUUUUUUAUGGAUUUUUAAUUUUAUUAAAAAAUUUCCCUCAAAUAUUCAGGUAAUUUAAAAUUAAUUAAUUAAUUAAUUAAAUUACCUAAAAUCAAAUUCAUUUAUGCAAAUUAUGAAGGUUGACACGUGUUUAAAAAAGUAGUUCUUUUCUUUCUUGAUAAAAAAAAAAGGUUAGCAAAAAAAGAAAUCACGUGUCAUUCAUAUAUAUAUAUAUCCUCUUUGGGUUCACGUGUCAUUCAUUCAUAUAUUUAGAUAUAUAUAUUCAAGAGAUCACGUGAAUGGAUUUCAUAUGUAUAUAUUAAAUCCUCAUCCUUACUUCAAUAUAUAGACAUAUAGCCCAGUGAUGACGUCUCCGAAGGCAACCAACGUUGAGGCUUGUCCCCAUUGACUUCGCCAUACACCCAACAAGCUCCAAUAUCAAUAUAUAUAUAUUAAAAAAAAAAACACUUACAAGUAUGAAGAGGUUCUCAUGGUGAAUUCAAGUUGGGUUUAUCAAGUUGGGUUGAAGAACACCUAAAGAUCGAAAGAGCUCUUUGAAAAAAUUCAAGUCUAGUUUCUCAAUUAUUGUCUCAUUUAUAUAUAAAAAAAAUAUAUAGGAUGACUAAUUGGAAGAUGACAAAAAGUGUAAAGUAAGAAGGAAAACGAAUUAGAAGAGGAUUUCAAAGUGUAAAGUAAGUAAGAAAAUGAAGUGGAGUUUGGAAAAAAGUGGGAAAUAAAUAUUUUUUUUUUUGGAAAAAAUAGGAAACUUCCUAUUAAAAUAUUUCUUUGAAAAAAAAAUUACUUCAAGACUCACCCCAUGCAUAUGACGAUGCAUGUAUGUGAUAUGUCUUGAAGUUGGGCCAUUUGUAAACAUAAAAAAUUAGUGGAUUAAAUUACCACUAAUUUGGUUUUCAAAAUGAAUAAUAAAAAAAGAAGAUAUCCUCUUAUGGAUAAGUUUCCUAAUUUCGAACUAUAAAAAGAAUAAUAAUAAUAAUAAUAAUAAGAAAAUUAUUAUUAUUAUUAUUAUUAUUAUUAUCUUGUUGGUAAAACCUCCCGGAGGAAAAAAUUUGCUAAAAUCAAUGAACUAAAUUCCUUGAAUUAAGCAACUAAAAUUUGGGAAUUUGAAAAUCAAAUUCCCUAUCUUUACCUAUAAAUAGAUGUGUCUUCUAUCAAUAAAAGGGGGAGAAAUUUAGAAAUCAGAAAAAAUCCAGAAAGGAAAAUCUUAAGGAGAAAAUCAAAAAAUCCAAAGGCGAUUUUGUGCAGGAAAAGACAACAAAAGAAAAAGUUUCAUCAAAUCUCCCUAAUUUCCCUACAAGUUCAGUAAACGGCAAAAGAAUUGUGUGGACCUCGUAUUUCACCUUAUGCUUUUCCCCUCGAUGACGAGCUCGAUUUUUAUUUUUGAGAAAAUGAUUUAUUGGUUAAGAAAAUGAUUUGGAGUCGCCACUUAUUUUUGUUUUAUUUUUAAAGGGUAAACAAAAUAAGAAAGAAAAACCCUAAGUGUGACUUCUUAUUUUUGGAAAAGGUAGCCUGUGAAAAACCGGAUUGGGUUCGAGGGUCAGGUUACUUAUCGGGAAGGUAUGGUAAAGACCGUAGCACCCCUCUAAGUCCCUAAAGUCGGGUCUCUACUAAUAAAAUAAAGCAAUCAUGACAAUUGAUGAGGGAAUCAAUGAAUACUCAGAGUGAUCAUGCACAUGUGAGAAUCUAAACAUGCAUAUAGAAAGACCAAAAAGGGAGUGGAUGCGUACUUGGGUGACAAGCCACAAAUGUGCUAUCAAGAAAUAGGGUUAGCGCAUAGUAAUGAACAUGAAAUAUGUCACUCAUAUCACCAAACAAGAUGAGGAACCACCAAUAGCACAUAUGACACUUCAUUCAAAAUUCAUUCUUAUUUUAAAGAAAAUUUUAUUUCAUGUUGGACCCCUACCAAAGCCCGGUUUAUCUUGCAUGAAUUAAUCCCACAAAUUCCAUUUUUUUGGAAUUAUGAAAAUUCAUUCUUGCUUAUGUAAAAUCAAGAGAAACAGAAUAUCAUUUGAAAACCAAAGUGAAAUUAAAACUAUCCGAGAAAAAAUUGGUUUUUUGAAAAUUAUUUGAAAAUUGGAGUCUCGAAAAUUAUUUGAAAAUUGAAUUUUUUUAAAUAAAAUAAUAAUAAUAAUAAUAAUAAUAAUAAUGAUAAUAAAAAAUAAAUGUGAAAAUUGGAAUUUUGGAAAUUAGAAAUUGGAAAAUUGGAAUUUCAAAAAUUUGGAAUUAAAGUUGGAAAUCGGAAUUUUUGAAGAAGUAUUUAAAAAUGGAAUUUUAAAAAUAAAUACAUAAAUAAAAUAAAAUAAUAAUGAUUAAAUGAAUAAAUGUGAAGAUUGAAAUUUUGGAAAAUUAUUGGAAAAUGAGAAUUUUAAAAUUUUAAUUUGGAAAUUGGAAUCUUAAAAAAAAUAUCUUGAAAAUGGAAUUUCGAAAAAUUAAAUUUUGAAAGUUAUUUGGAGAUGGAAGUUUGUUUCGGAAAAUUAAAAUUGAUACAAAAAAUAAAUAAAAUAAUAAUGAUAAUAAUAAUAAUAAAAUGAAGAAUUAAACGUGAAUGAAAGUGGAUUGGAAGAGUGGAGAAAAUAGUGGGAGAGAGAAAGAAUGAAUAAAUAACUAAAAAGUUGGUUUGAUGGUGAAAUGGGUGGAAGCUAUCAAACCCAUUAUUUUCUUUCUUUAAUAAGUUAGCAACUGGCAUAGUUAACUCAUAGAUAAAGCCUUUUUUUUUUUUUUUAUUAUAGCAUGUGCUUUCGUCCUCAAAAUAAGGGAACUGCAAUACACCUAAACAAAAGCUGCUAGUGUUGAAACCCUCAUUGGAAGACGAAGACGAAGACCUUUCUCGUGUGAUACUUUCAUCUGGCAAAAUCCUGGGAAACCAUGCCGGAGGCGGGGACAGAGCGUCAGUCAUCUACCGACGUAAAGGGUGCUAACAUGCGCCGGAGGGGGGCAUGCUAAAGAGAAGAGAACAAGGGUGGUGAUGACUGAUGAGGGGACGGUGUGGGUUUAAGGAGAAAUGAUAGGAUAGAGACAUUCAGACACCACGCAAUAAAACUGGACCAGAUUCAUAUUAUUUCUCCCAACCGAAACCCAGAAACAAUAAAUGGAUAUAUAGUCAUAGCAAAUCCAGUGGAUGCUCAAAAAUCAACAAAAAUACCCAUAUGAUAUCCACACAGAAAUAGCUAAAUAACAGCUAAAUAACGCUCAACAAUGAAUAGAGGAGAACAAAUAGCAAGAGAAAUAAUAGGGAUGGAUAAGAAACAUACCUGGAAAUUUCUCUCUCCAGUAGCAGCUUCUCCUCAAGCUCCAAGAAAAAAGGAAUCUCCUCAUAAAACCUCUUUUUUCAUAAAAACUCUUUCUCCGGUAGCUUUCUACCCAAGCCAAGGAAUCCCUCCUAAGUUAGAGAACCUUCCCCCCUAAAAUAUCUCCAAAAACCUCGCCCCCAAAAAGCACACUCUGCUUAGAAUAUCCUUUCCUACAGCUCACUAACGACCUCAAUGUAAAACGAACGUUGCCCUCAAUAUUCUCUCCAGGUGCCUCCAUAUUAUUUGCUCUUCAAUUCCACUAUCUGAUAUUCACUGGCAGCCAACCAUGGGUCGACACGUGGUCUCCCAAGGUUCCUCCACAUGGCAAGCUAGACAGCUGCAAGAAUGACCCAAAAUGGGGUCUACAAAUAUGCCCAUCUUUGGUAGAGCUCACGAGUGUAAGGAAUAUGAACACUGAAGUGAAAAGCAAGUGUGAAUAGUGAGUGGAAUGAAGUGAACUCUACCGAAGAACUAAGGAGACCCCCUUAGGGACACUAGUGAAAUGCAAAAUCACUCAGGCUAGUAGAUGAACACAAAGGCUCUAAUCCUAAAAGAAAAGGAUGUCUCAAAAUGCCUCUGAAACCACACUAAGGACCCAAGCUCCCUUUAAGACGUCUCCAAAAGUGACUCGAGGAUCAAUAUCAAAGAUGAGUAACGGUUAAACCACUCUGAAGUACAAGAAUAAAUGCGUCCAAAUGAGACUCCUAUACAUGUACUGCAUGAGAAUGCUAGGCAUAGGGUGCCCAACAACAUGACCGAAAUAUGUGCCGUGAACUCAAAGGAUUGCGUCAUGUGUAGUGGAAGGGGAAAUCUGGAAGAACAAUGAUGAAUAAGCAUAAGCACAGGGUAACGAGGUGAGGAGAAUGAGAACAAGUGCAAAACCAUGAAUGUCAGAUGUGCAAUGCCAGUGAAUAUGAAUACCAAGAACUGUGACUUUGAAUGAUACAACUGAGGAGAAAUGACUCUGAACGUCAAAAACACGUAAAGAUGGUGACUUAAAAUCAAACAAGACUCAACUCAAUCUGACAAAACAAUGACUGAUCGAUAUAGGUGCAGCCCCAACUCAAAUUGACACAACGAAUAACCGAUCGAUAUAGGUACGGUCCCAACUCAAAAACUCAAACCCAAAUUGAUAGGAAGACGACCGAUCAAUAUAAGUGCGGCCUGAUUCAAACUGAACACAAACUGACAAGGAAAUGAUAGGAAGAUGGCUGAUCGAUAUGGGUGUGGCCUUGAAAACUCAAACUAACACAGAAAAUGAUCGAUCGAUAUAGGUGUGGUCUUGAAAACUCAAACUGACACGGAAAAUGAUAGGAAGACGGCCGAUCGACAUAGGUACGGCCUCGAAAACUUAAACUAACACAGAAAAUGACCGAUCGAUAUAAGUGCGGUCCCGACUCAAACUAAACACAAACUGACAAGGAAAUGAUAGGAAGAUGGUCGAUCGAUAUGGGUGUGGCCCCAAAACGCAAACUCAAAUUGACAAGAUGAUGACCGAUCGAUAUAGGUGCAGUCCAAAAAAAAAAAACUCAAACUCAAACUGAUAUGAAGAUGACCAAUCGAUAUAGGUGCGGUCCCAAAAACUCAAACUAACACAGAAAAUGAUAAGAAUAUGGCAGAUCGAUAUGGGUGCGGUCCCACAACACAAACUCAAAUUGAUAAGAUGAUGACCGAUCGAUAUAGGUGCGGUCCAAAAAAAAAAAAAACUCAAACUCAAACUGAUAUGAAGAUGACCGAUCGAUAUAGGUGCGGUCCUAAAAACUCAAACUAACACAAAAAUGAUAGGAAUAUGGCCGAUUGAUAUGAGUGUGGCCCCACAACACAAACUGACAAGAUGAUGAUCGAUCGAUAUAGGUGCGGUCCCGACUCAAACCCAAACACGAACUGAUAGAAAUAUGGCUGAUCAAUAUAUGUGCGGCCCCAAAACGCAAACUCAAAUUGACAAAAUGAUGACUAAUCGAUAUAGGUGCGAUCCCGAUUCAAACUCAAACUCAAACACAAACUGACAAGAUGAUGACUGAUCGAUAUAGGUGCGGUCUUGACUUAGACUCAAACAGACAAGAUGAUGGCCAAUCGAUAUAGGUGCGGCCUAGACUCAAACUCAAACAGACAAAACGAUGAAUGAGUGAUCGAUAUAGGUGCGACCCUGACUUAAACUCAAACAGACAAAACGAUGAGUGACCGAUCGAUAUAGGUGCUGUCCCAUAAACUAAACUGACAUGACAAGGAGAUGACCGAUCGAUAUAGGUGCAACCCCAAAUUUUAAUUGAUAAGACAAUGACCAAUCGAUAUAGGUGUGGUCCCAAGAAACUAAAUUGACAAGACAAUGAGAUGGCCGAUCGAUAUAGGUGUGGCCCCAAACUUUGACUGAUAAGACAAUGACUAAUUGAUAUAGGUGCGGUCCCAUAAACUAAAUUGAACACGAAAAGUGAUAGCAAGAUGACCGAUCGAUAUAGGUGCGACCCCGACUCAAACUAAACUGAAACUGACAAGAUGAAUGAAUGACCUGAUCAAAUGGUCCAAAGCCAAAUGAUAACCCAGAUAACGAUGCAAGCAAACUCGGUCGAAGGGGAUAUGCCCCAGUAUGACAACUCAUGAGGAUCGACAACUAGGUCAAAAGAUAAUGAAGCCUGUGAAAGGUCCGAUGAUCCUAGGGAAGGAAGGUAUGCCCCGGUAUGCAACUCGAGGGAGUCAACAACUAGAUCGAAAAGUAAAUGAAGCAUGUGGAAGGUCCGAUGCUCUCGGAGAAGGGGGUAUGCCCCAGUAUGACCACUCGGAGGGGUAAAAAACUAGAUCAAGAAGUGAAUGAAACCUAGGGAAGGUCUGAUGAUCCUAGGGAAGGGGGGUGUGCCCAGUAUAUGACAAUGAACAAAUUGGGAUACACAAUGUCUCAAAACUACUGUGCUAUAAAAUAUGCUCAAUCAUCAUGUAAUGAAAAUGUCCAACCUUAUAUAAGUAAUGCCAAAUAGGACCAUGUAUCGUGAUACCAUGUCUACAAAACAAAACUAACUAAUGGAUAAGGACAAUGAUGACCAGUGCUCAAAACCCAAGGAGUAAGCAAAUCAACACUCAACAUGCUAACUGUCAAAAUGAAAACAUCAUCACUAAUAAAUCAACAAUCUGUCAGGUCCUGCCAUCAUGGAAGAUGUUGAACCUAAAGUCCGAAAGAUGCAUGAAAGCACAACCAAGGCGAUCGAAGACGGAUCUACAUCUCUUCCUAAUCGAGAUAGGGGUGAGGUCAUGUGUCAUGAUGGGAUGUGUAGGAUAAAAAAAGGUGAUGAUCAAGCUCUGGUAUGAUAGAAGGCAUGAGAGUAUCUAGAGUGAAAUGUCUGAUUACGAGAUGAAAUGUAUGUAAGUAUCCGAGAUCAUCCAAGUAUGCCGAGAAGACUAGACCCAAGGCGCCAAUAGCUACAUAAUCCAUUGAAACCUUCAACCACAAACAGAAAAUCAAGUCUCGAUGUCAAAACCUCCAACAAAGUGGCUAUGCCCCAGUAUGCAAUGAGGACAACAUGAAAUAAUCUAAUGAUCUCCAUACCACUCGUCAGAUACUCCAACAUCAAGAAUCAAUAUGAUCUCUCUCCAAAAGAUGGAUAUGCCCCAGUGUACAGGAUCCAAUAGGGUGACUAUGCUCCAAUGAAAAAUACUCUCCAUCUCGUCUAAACCCCAGUGUAAAGCAGUGCAUCCAAGUCAACAACUGCUAAAAAGGACCACGCGUAGUGCACAUCAAUAAAUCAAUCGAUCUCUACUCCUGAUGCCAAAAAUGGAAACAUCUCAUCAUAGUCCAUAUGAAUCAAAAUCCUCGAGCUUUAUGAGUACAAAUGAACUGGCUAUGCCCUAGUAUAAACCAUCUGAAGUGACUAUGCUCCAAGAUAAAUCAAAGUCCAUCACCGAUGAGAGGGCUAUGCCUCAAAAUAAAUCGUCAUCUCAAAAAUCAACCAUCAAUGAGUAGAGUGUGUCCCAAUGCAGGGUAUUGAGUAGAGUGAUUGUAUAUCCAAUAAAAGGGCUCUCUGAAGUGGCUAUGCCCAAGUGUAGGGUCACCCCACAACUCCUAAUCCAUCAUAAUCCAAGUGAAGAAGCAAACUAGCUAUGCCACAAUGCAAGGUAUCAUCUCGAAAGAAAACGUCAUCGAUGAGUGGUGUAUGCCCCAGUGUAGAUAACGUCGCAUUUGAAAAUCCAUCACUGAUAAGGGGAGUAUGCUCCAGUGUAAUCCAUAUCAUAGCUCCUCAUCUAUCAUGCUCUAAGAAAUGAUCCCUAACCAAACUUGAGUAUUGCCCACGUGUGAACUAUCAAACACAAUGUGAAGUAAUGGCCUCAGGAUGGUCUUCAGACACGGGACAUAACGUAGGCCAAGGUAAUAGGGUGGAAGAAAUAAAAGGAAACUAGGCUCAAAGAUCCCAAUGAUAUAAUCCACAUAUCCCUCAUGCAUGAGAUGCAAUGCGUAGAAAACGUCAUGAGUCCCGGACCUAGGGGUCCCCACGCGAAAAAUAAUGAUAAAUGAAUGGUCACAUCGAAUAAGCAAGAAUAAAGUGUGGAUGCUGAACCCAUGUCAAACAUCAAGCAGGAUGAGAAAAUGAUGAAAUCAGAUGAGGUAGAGUGAAAUGGAUGAAUAAGAUAAGGAUAGGAGAAGACAAAAAGAUAGGAAAGUGAGUGAUGGUCAACCUGCAUCAAAGCAUGGAAAGUAGUCACAUCCGAAAUAGAUGAGAUGAUGGAUAGAGUCAGGAUCUAGAGAUACUGAAGAAAGGUCGCUCGCCUCUCUCACAAAAAAUCGAAUGGGCGACUCAUACUCUCACAAAAAAUAUACAUCAAUAUGAAUCUCAGAAAGAAGCUCUCAUAUGAACUCUUUCUAACACAUGAACUCAAUGAAGCAAACUGGCACGUCCAUACACAUGCUUAAUGGAGAAUGAUAAAAUGAACAAUGCACUAUCUUUUUUUUUUUUUUUUUUGCGCAUACUCCAAUCAAUAAUGAAUGAUCUCCCAUGAAAUACAUAGCCAAAUGAAUAAACUCUCCCCAUGUACUGAUGUAACAUGAAUCCUCACUAACAAGACAACCUCUCAAAAUAAGAUCUCUGAACCACUGCUCAUAAGGCGAACAAGGGAGGAACGUGACAAUCCUCCAUGCAGUGACGUGUGAGAAACUACCACUCAAGGCGAAACAAGGAUAAUGUCGAGUAAGCAAUGAUGAAAGAAAAGACAAAUAACAAAUAUCACAAGUGGUGAUAUGUGAUAUUGGAAAAUAGUGAUGAAAUGAUGUCCAAGUGGAAAAUAUCACAAUGAAGAGUGAGGAAUGAGGCUUGAAUAUACAUGUCAGGUCUGGAACUCAUGACGUAUCCAAUCAUAGCAUGCAAGCACUAUAGGGUUCCCAACCCGGUGUAAUAGGUAAAUGAGGUGAUGAAAGAAAAGGCUAUAUGCUCGUGUGAGGCUCAAAGGGCUAGCAACGAGUAACUCUAUAUGUGAGGAUGAUAGGGUAAAUGAGCUCAUGAAAUGAUGGCCACCCAUCCUAUGACCACAACCUCGAACAUCGUGCUUUCAAGAUCUCACAUGGCCAAUACUAAAGAUUGACAUUCGUCCAACAAAGUCAUGUUAACUCAUCUGAAAUCAUGUGAAAGCUCUCACUGAUGAUCUGUGAUAACCAUCAAUGUUCUCCGACAAUCAUCUCACUCUAUCAUCAUAAUCCACUCACCAUCGUCUCAUAAAAUCACCAUCUCUAAUCAUCCUAACCCUCUGAAGUCAUGUGCAAUGGCUCAAAUCUAGACGCUCCAUGAUAACCCCUCUGUCUCAACAAUAUCAUUAAGCAGUCAAGCCAAUCUCUCAUCGUGAUCCAUCUAUCAUCAUGCGAAGCUCAUCUUUGGUCAAACCAACUCAGACACUACCUGGUCAGAUCAAGGAAAUGAUGGAAAGGAAAGACAAUGGUACUGUAGCAUGGUAAGGCGAACAAGGAUAGUAAAGUCAUACGGUGGUACCAAAGGGCGGUGUCAUGUCAAGCUCAAAAUGGGUAGGUCAUCAAGUCCACAGAGUCAGGGUAUGGAUAUGGAUAUGGUACUGCUCUGAUCAGAAGGUGAAAUGAGUCACAGUCUCGAACUCCCUAGGUCGAUCUCCUGAUCCUAGGUUAAAAGGCUCAAUAUCCUCCAUGAUAGGUCAAGCCAGAGUGAUCAUGAUGUAUAAGUGAAAAGAUGUCUCAUAUCGAAAGCAUAAGACACAUCAACACAAGAUAUGUAAAGCACACUCACGAGAAAAAUGCCACAUACUCCGAUAAAAGAUCAUAUCACUAAAUGAACCAAUGAGUACAUCAUGUAUGAAACGAAAAAUGACUACCAAUGACUGGACUCUCAACAUGAACUAAAAACAACGACUCUAAACCAAACUAGACUAAACAAAAACAACUUUGAUGAACCCAAAACUAGACUCGACAAAAUGGAAAUGACUCUGAUGAUGACCAUAAUAAAAAAUGAAAAGCACUAUGAGCUGAACUACUACCAAAUGAUGUACCCAAUGUCGACUGAUCCAAGUCCUCAACCCGGGAUGUCCUAAAAUACCAUGUGACAAUCAAUACCAUCAACAUCCUAAUCAAUCUACUGAAGACUAAGAGGAGGAGGAACUGCAUGUGUAGAAUGCGUAGGUAGAGGAUUGGUGGUCACACUUAACCCAGCCAAGUUGACCAACCCUGAAUCGAUCGAGUCUUGUAUCGCAUGAUGGGGUGCCGAACAACGCUCAGUAUCGUGCCCCUGCAUCUGAUGAUAUAAGCAAUGCUCAUGGGAGCAAAAAUGUGGAGGAAUAGGAUGUGGCAAAGGGCGUGGCUCCAAAGGAACGAUCAAACCACCAUCUCUGAGCUUUUCAAAAGCUCUAGUUAAGGUCAUGCCCCAGGGAGUGAACUGUCUCAUGGGCCUCUGUGCAUAUGGUCUAGGUGGCGGGUGAGUAGUGGCUCUCAGAUGUGAUGGUUGUGGCUGCAUGUUGGCUUAUGCAAUGUAAGGCUCCUGAACAUACAUUAGUUGAUACUGAUACUGCGGAUGAGAUAAAUGAGCUCUGAUUAGAGGAGGUCUGUAAGGUGAGUGGUGGUGCGGGCCUCUGAUACUGAUAACUAAUAGCGCCAACCUCUCCAGAUCUACUAAAUGAUCCAAUCGGCUUCUUCCCCUUACUGUCAGGGGAAGGAGUAGUAUCUGUCCAUAAUCCUUGAGCGAUGACCUCCUCAACACUAAAAGCUGCAUGAACUAGACUCUUAAGAUCCUAAAAUGGGAUGCCCACAAGACAUCUCGCGAACCUCGGUUGUAGGUUCCGAAGAACCAUGUCAAUCUGAUCUUGCUCCUUAGGCCGGUCUAUCAUACCAGCCACCUUUGCCCUCCAAUGAGUGACAAAGGAAGAAAUAGACUCAUCUGGCCUUUGCCUGGUGGCCUACAACUCUCGUCAAGAUACAUCAAUAUCGGCACUAAAAGCGAACUGAGUCAGGAACUCAUGAGCCACAUCCUCCCAGGUGCGAAGUCUCGAAGGCUCAACUGAAGCAAACCAUUUUUGAGCUACUCCACUAAGUGACAUGGGAAAGAGGGCCACCAACUGUGCAUCAUCUAUCCCAUGUGCUCUCAUGACUGUGCUGUAUAAUCUCAAAUGGAUCUUGGGACAACCAAUCCCACUAUAACGCUCAAUGUCUGGCAUGCGAAACUUGGUGGGCAAGCUAGCCGCCGAUAUACCAUCCCUAUCAUCCCAAGUCAAACCUCCAUCUUGUAAUCUGAUUUGUCUCAUCCUAGACUCAAGCCUCUCAACCCUGGUCUCCUGCUUAGCCAAUCUAGUAUCCUUAAUAGUAGGAACCAUGGGAGGCGGCACCGUGACAGUAGGUGGUGGAAUGGUCUCAUAAUGAUCUGCCAGAUGGAAUGGAGUACCAAGUGAAACCCUAGGUGGAAGAGCAUGUGCUGUCUGAGAUGCAUGAGGAACCGUCUCAUUAGUGACCAUGCCAACUGGAUGGGGAUCCUGAUGAGAACUCUCUAUCUGAUCCAACCGUCUACUGACUCCGACCAUGAACUCCUAAAUAGAAGCAAGUGUGGAAGCUAACUCGUCCGACAUCUCAACUGAACUGUCUGAACUCUGAUGUGAAUCUGAUCAGAUCAAUCGUCCUCCAACUCUCCUCCAAGAAUGUGACUCCAGCUCAAUCGACUCCUAAACUGACUCCCUACAAUGCAAACAAAAUGGAUGAAGGACACGAGAUAGAAUUCUAAAAGACGACAAUACAACAUGCAAGCACAUGGUCCUAAGAUAGCAAUCUAAAAUCUGGAUGUAUGACGAGAACUCUAGAGUCAUAAAGGUGUCCACUGCGAGACGACAACAAAUGUGACUAGAUAAUUCCUAUCAAUAAUCCAAGAUGAAAGAGGUGUGAAAAACACGCUAUCAUGAGAUCAAUACUCUAUCUAUAACCACAUAUCAUUGACUCAACCUUCAACUCAAGUUCCAUAAGAGAAAAAUAAUAAGGUGAUCAAGGUAACUCUCUCGAAAAAAGUGUGAAUGCGAAAAUGUGCCUUUCACUUUUCUGUAAUGAAAAUAUGAGCGUCGAGUCGAAAAUUAAAUCAAGAAUCAAACAAAGAAUGGUGUUGAGGUCGUGACAGGUGUACAGUGUAAAAAGAUGAUCAAUGAAUAUAUCUCGAAGCAUCCAGCAACUGACAACAAAGUGAAAGGGUGUGUUGAGCCAAGAAAUGAGAACGAAAGCCCUGGGAAGAAAACAUGACAAACUCAUCGAGUGAAAAGCAUAAUCCAAAGUGACAUGACGAAAAGUGAUCCAACCGAUACUCAACUCAUACCAAUCUCUGAGCACUCUCAAAUGGAAACCCGAAAGAGAAAACACUAAAUCUAGGUGGUGACUAAAGUGGCUUUGAAGGCUCUCAGAUGCACCCACGUGUGAGGAAGGAAUCCUAAUCAAAGGAUCUAAGCUCAUCCUAUAAGGUCAAGGUGGCCCUAAAAGAAAAUGGGUAGACUUUAAAAGGUCCCUAGCAGAAGCGAUCGUACCCUCUGGCGGUACGCAACCCUCUGCACGCCUCCAAAGAGAUGGAGCGCUUCCAUGCAAGGUGGUCAUCCUCCACACAUGCACUACCUUGCAUCCUUGGGGGCUCCUAUGGUGAAACCUCUCCUAAUGGUUGGCGUAUCUCACAACUCUGACCACUCAUCAACGAUCUAAGGUGCAUAGUGAGUGGUGCGGGUGCAUCCGAAAAAUCCUAUGAAACUAAAAGAGAACACACUGACCACACAAAUAUCCUGAAAUCUAGCUCUGGGCUAUACAAAUCUUCAAAGUUUGGACUCCAAUCAGCAUCAAUAUGUCGACCACCUCCAGAAUGCUUCCAAACAUAGAUAUAGCCCAUCGCUAGACCCUCUAAUCACUAGCUCAGUCGAAGAGCAAAGAAAACAACAAGUCUCAUAUCAAAUAUGAGACCCUAGAAAACAAGGUCGACUGAGACUAGGGACUUGGAGACAAGGGGAUAGGUGUGUGUCCCACAUAGACAAGUAACUCAUGCAAUCACACAGAAUGAGAGGAGUCAUGCAACAAACAUCAUGCAAAAUAGGUAUAUAUCAUCCAAAUCUACACACAAACUAAUCGAGAAGAAUAUCUGGCAAAUGAUAGUAUGCUCCUUGAUAAUCAAGAUAAUAUAUAACUGAGAGAAUCAAUCAUGUCAAAUCAAAUGAUAUACAAUGGUGAGUCUAUACAUGUGAGGUAAUAAAAACAAACAUGGCAAAAUCAGAGUCACUAUGCUAAGCAAGGUAAGAUGAUCAAUCAACAUAAUCAACAUAACAAUGUCUCAAACAAAUAUAGCAAUAAAGCACGGGAAAAAUCGCCACAAUCGGAAUCCUCAAUCAAGAUAAUCAAUCAUCAUAAUUAGCAUGUCCAUGUCCCAAAUGAAUACAAUAACCAAACAUGCAUCCAAUGAUAUCAAGAACUCUCAAUGUGCAAUCAAGAGAUAGGUAUCCACUGAUCGACCAAUCAAACGCCACAUUUGCUUCAUCUUAAGUUCAAGCUUGACCCUCUAGUGAUCCCUAGUGGAGUCGCCAUUUUGUGGACCCCGCAUUUUGGCUCAUGUGUUUUCCCUCGAUGGUGAGCUCGAUUUUUAUUUUUGAGAAAAUGAUUUAUUGGUUAAGAAAAUGACUUGGAGUCGCCAAUUAUUUUUGUUUUAUUUUUAAAGGGUAAACAAAAUAAGAAAGAAAAACCCUAAGUGUGACUCCUUAUUUUUGAAAAAGGUGGUCUGUGAAAAAUCGGAUCGGGUUUGGGGGUCAAGUUACUUAUCGGGAAGGUACGGUAAAGAUCGUAGCACCCCUUUAAGUCCCUAAAGUCGGGUCUUUACUAAUAAAAUGAAGCAAUCAUGACAAUUGAUGAGGGAAUCAAUGAAUACUCAAAGUGAUCAUGCACAUGUGAGAAUCUAAACUUGCAUAUAGAAAGACCAGAAAGGGAGUGGAUGCGUACCUGGGUGACAAGCCACAAAUGUGCUAUCAAGAAAUAGGGUUAGCGCAUAGUAAUGAACAUGAAAUAUGUCACUCAUAUCACCAAACAAGAUGAGGAACCACCAAUAACACAUAUGACACUUCAUUCAAAAUUCAUUCUUAUUUUAAAGAAAAUUUUAUUUCAUGUUGGGCCCCCACCAAAGCCCAGUUUAUCUUGCAUGAAUUAAUCCCACAAAUUCUAUUGUUUUGGAAUUAUGAAAAUUCAUUAUUUCUUAUGUAAAAUCAAGUGAAACAGAAUAUCAUUUGAAAACCAAAGUGGAAUUAAAACUGUGCGAGAGAAAAUUGGUUUUUUGAAAAUUAUUUGAAAAUUGGAGUCUCGAAAAUUAUUUGAAAAUUGGUUUUUUUUUAAAAUAAAAUAAUAAUAAUAAUAAUAAUAAUAAUAAUAAUAAUAAUAAUAAUAAUAAUAAUAAUAAUAAUGAUAACAAAAAAUAAAUGUGAAAAUUGGAAUUUCGGAAAUUGGAAAAUUGGAAUUUUGAAAAUUUGGAAUUAAAUUUGGAAAUCGGAAUUUUUGAAGAAGUAUUUAAAAAUGGAAUUUUAAAAAUAAAUACAUAAAUAAAAUAAAAUAAUAAUGAUUAAAUGAAUAAAUGUGAAGAUUGGAAUUUUGGAAAAUUAUUGGAAAAUGGAAAUUUUAAAAUUUUAAUUUGGAAAUUGGAAUCUUAAAAAAAAAUAUAUUGAGAAUGGAAUUUUGAAAAAGUAAAUUUUGAAAGUUAUUUGGAUAUGGAAGUUUGUUUCGGAAAAUUAAACUUUGAUACAACAAAAAAUAAUAAUAAUAAUGAUAAUAAUAAUAAUAAUAAUAGUAUUAAUAAUAAUAAUAAUAAUAAUAAUAAUAAUAAUAAUAAUAAUAAUAAUAAUAAUAAUAAUAAUAAUAAUAAAAUGAAGAAUUAAACGUGAAUGAAAGUGGAUUGGAAGAGUGGAGAAAAUAGUGGGAAAGAGAAAGAAUGAAUAAAUAAAUAAAAAGUUGGUUUGAUGGUGAAAUGGGUGGAAGCUAUCAAACCCAUUAUUUUCUUUCUUUAAUAGGUUAGCAACUGGCAUAGUCAACUCAUAGAUAAAGCCUUUUUUUUAUUAUAGCCUGUGCUUUCGUCCUCAAAAUAAGGGAACUGCAAUAUACCUAAACAAAAGCUGCUAGCGUUGAAACCCUCAUUGGAAGACGAAGACGAAGAGCUUUCUCGUGUGAUGCUUUCAUCUAGCAAAAUCUUGGGAAACCAUGCCGGAGACGGGAAUAGAGCGUCAGUCAUUGUCCGGCGUAAAGGGUGCUAACAUGCGCAAUAGGGGGGCAUGCUAAAGAAAAGAGAACAAAGGUGGUGAUGACUGAUGAGGGGGCGGUGUGGGUUUAAGGAGAAAUGAUAGGAGAGAGGCAUUCAAACACCACGCAAUAAAACUGGACUAGAUUCAUAUUAUUUUUUCCAACCGAAACCCAAAAACAAUAGAUGGAUAUAUAGUCAUGGCAAAUCCAGUGGAUGCUCAUAAAUCAACAAAAGUAGCCAUAUGAUAUCCACACACAAAUAGCUAAAUAACAGCUAAAUAACGCUCAACAAUGAACAAAGGAGAGCAAAUAGCAAGAGAAAUAAUAGAGAUGGAUAAGAAACAUACCUGGAAAUUUCUCUCUCCAGUAGCAACUUCUCCUCAAGCUCCAAGCAAAAAGGAAUCUCCUUAGAAAACCUCUUUUUUCAUAAAAACUCUCCCUCCGAUAGCUUUCUGCCCAAGCCAAGGAAUCCCCCCCAAGUUAGAGAACCUUCUCCCCCAAAAUAUCUCCAAAAACCUUGCCCCCAAAAAACACCCUCUACCUAGAAUAUCCUUUCCUGCAGCUCACUAACGGCCUCAAUGCCAAACGAACGCUGCCCUCAAUAUUCUCUCCAGGUGCCUCCAUAUUAUUCGCUUUUCAAUUCCACUAUUUGAUAUUGACUGGCAGCUAACCAUGGGUCGACACGUGGUCUCCCAAGGUUCCUCCACGUGGCAAGCUAGGCAGCUGCAAGAAUGACCCAAAAUGGGGUCUAUAAAUUGCUACAUGCGUUUUUUUGCCACUCAACGAGCUCAUUCGGGAAUAAGCCACUUGUAGCCCUCGAUUGAUCUUUGAAAUCAAGAAAACACCAUCGUCAUCUUCCAAAGUGUGAUCAAGAUAGAAGAAUUAGAGAAAAAAAAUAUUUUUUUUGGAAAUAAUAUUAUUUUUGAGAUUUUACACACAAUAUUUUUAAUUUCAAUAAAUAUUUUGUUCGUAUUAUUUUCCUAUUUGUUUUGCUAAUUUUGUAGGACCAAUUUACGAAAUUUGUGCGUACAAUGACAUAUAAAUAAGAUAUAAAAUUACAUAAUUUAUUAAUUUGUUAUAUUUUUAAGAAAUUAAUUUAUUUGUAUUUUGACAAAUUUAUCUUCAUUGAAAUAGUAGUAUACCAAAUCCUUAAGUUUAAAUAUAUAAUUUUUAUAUUAUUAAAGUACAUAUUUUUAAUUUCAACAAUAAUUUAUAAUUUAAUAUUUUUUAAUUAAAUAUUAAAAUAAAAAUAACUAAAUCUUUAAUUGGCAAUUGAGGUUUUAGUUCAAAAAUCAAAUCUUAAUUAAGAACUAAGGUUUCAACUUAAUUUUUUUUUUAAUGAGAUGGCUCUAAGUGGCUAUAAAGGUACUAGUUUAAAGUGACUCUAAGGGUUGGUUGCUUGUCAUUUCAAAGAUGUGAAAAAAGCUAAAACCAACUAUUUUCCAAAUUACUUGUAAAAAUAAACAAUCCAACAUUUUCAAGAAAGGCAUGGAUGCCUCUCUUAUAGUCUUUAUACAACAAAGCUAUUCAAGUUUGGUACACUACUAAUUAUAUAAAUUAUAUUAAUGAAAGAGCAUAAAAAAUAAAAUUAAUCACACAAAGAUAAACAAGGUUUUAACAUGAUUCAAUUGUCUACCCCCACAUAUGAGAGAACAUUUUAUAAUAAAAAAUAUUAUGGACAAAACAAAUUCAACUAUUGCUUACCCCCACAGAUGAUAAAUAACAUUAUAUAAUAGAAAAUGUUAUGCACAUAAACAAAUUCAACUAUUGGGUCUCGAAACAUUUCACAUUUCUUCACUUUUUAUAUCUCCAUCCUGAACCAUAAGCUCUUUUGCUCUUUUAAGUAUCUCUCACUCUUUCUCGAAUCUCAAUCUUGAACUAUGAUCCCUCUUACUCCACCAAGUGUCACUCACACUUCCUCACAUCUUUAUCAAUCAUCUAUAAUCUUCACAAACUCAUGUCUCUCUCAUAAUUUUUCUCCUCAUGACAUAGAUUAUUUAAAAAUUUGAGACACUUCACGACUUAUAUUUCUUGUGAUCGGUUAUUAUCAAAUUACGCAUAUUGUGUACUUGUAAGCAAAUGGGUCUCAAAUAAGAAAUAAUUCUAACAAUCAAUUGGAAUGAAGGGAAAGAUUAACUUUCAUCCAACCCAUCAUUUAAAAAACUCACAUCCAUUUUGAUUCAAGAAUAAAUAGAAAAUAUUGGUUUGGUCAGGUUCGAAUCAAUUAUUUUUACACCCAGGUACUUAUAGAAAUAAAGAUAGCAUGAGAGAAACUAAAGGAUGAGAGAAUACCUUUGGAGGGGGAGAGAGUGGUCUUUGCCUUAUGAGCUGGUAGGUGUGAAAUAGUAGAAGAAGGCAUACGACUUUAGUUACAGUAAGGUACGGGUAGAGACUUCUGCUUCCAAAACGGUUCAUGUGUUUUCUAGCCAAUGUUUUAAAGUAAGAAAGUCAAAUAUGUUUUAAAGCCAUGGGAUCUCAUUGAGAGUACUAAAGCAUAUAAUAUCUAUAUGAAGGAAGUAGAACAUUAUAAAAUGAUUUCAAAACCACUUCUCAACCUUAGUGUACAAUCCUAUAAGACAUUACGAAGACAUUGUGUUUGCAUAUGGGUAACUGUGAUAUCACACAUUGGUUAAGAAAAAAAAUCUUAAUAUUAUAUAUGUGACACCUCGCUAGAAGGAUAAGGACACCACAAUCCUUUCACAUGUCAAACCUAAGAGCCUAACAUAUAAAUGACCUCAACUAACAAAUCCAUCAUCUACCUAACGAAUAGCUACCUCAAAUUCAUUUAAAACAAUAAUAAAAUCAUUCAAAAGGUUAUGAAUCUCUAAUCCAAAACUAAUUAAAAUAUCUAAACAAUAAAUUCAAUGUGUGAGCAUUUUUGUGUGUUGGCAAUUUCGAUUCAAAAUUCCAAUUGUGUUUCUCCUAGCUCAAUUUCUUCAAAUACUCCAUUAGAUUCUUAUCAUUUCCAAACUAUUAAUGAUUGAAGAUUGCUAAAAGAGAUGAUAAGUAUUUUUUAGGUGAUGGAUGAUAUCAAAUAUUGGUCAACCAAGUUUAAAUAUUUCAUCAUUUUUAUUGAAAAAUGGAAUUGAAGCUUAAGGGUGUUAAAUUUUUUAUUUAUAUCAAUUAGAUCCAUUUUUAAUCAAUUAAUCCAAAGGGUAACAAUUUUUUCUAUACCCAAAUUUUUUUCGAUCAUAUCUGAUCAAUCAAAGUUCAAUCAUAUCUACGAAUCUUCAUUAUUUUCCAAACAAAUCUCAACUAUUUGAUGGGUUUUAAAAUCCUAAUAUUUAAGCCACAUUUCCAAAUUAGGGGAAAACGAUUGUGAGAGAUAAGUGACCUCCCUUGAACUUAAAGUUCUUUACUCAUUUUAGGAGAAUUUGGUUUGAAAGAAAAUUUUAUAGAUGUUCAGUGUAAAAUAAUAUUUUGAAUGAGAAAAUUUCUUUCAAAAUGUAUUGAUUCAAUGUGAGUUUUAUCCUUACUAUCAUAUUUGAGGUAAAACUCAAUUUUUUUCUUAUUUGGAUUUACGAAGUGGAAGAUCAAGUUUGGUGUGGACUCCAAUUAUGCUCCAGAUGAAAAAAAAAAAAGGUAGUUGAAGUUUGAAUGUUCUAAACAAGUGGUCCAGGAGAUGAUUAAAGGCUUAGACUAGAUAAAUCUUUGUACUUUGUUAAUUUUCUUCACAAUAGAUGUUUUUGAUUGCCAGUAGACUCAUAGAUACCAAGACGAGAGUAACUCCAGAUAGAUACCAAAAUGGAUACAGCUGUUUAUCUUGCACAAAGGAAUGUUCAGAUGGGUUUCUAUAUGUGCCCCUUUGAUGAUUAAGUCAAAGAGAGUUGACUUGAGCAAGAAAAUGUUGUUUUGGAAAGGUGGCAACAUACCUUUCUGUGGACAUGGGUGGCUAUUUAUUCUUGCUCAUGUGUAAUGUCUUUUUGGGCUUUUUAAUAGCACCUUAAUUGAGUUUGAUUAUGCAUUAUUGUGGCAAUGAUUGCCAACCCAUAAUGGUGUUUUUGCUUUGAUGAGCCUUAAAUAAUGGUGUCUUAUCCUUGUAACGGCUACAUCAAUCAAGGCUCAUGUCUGGUGCACAAGUAACACUUGAAGGCAAUUUAAUGCUUGGAGGCAAGUCAAACACCAUUCUCAUUGUCCAAUCAUUUGAAAUAGUCUGUCUAUUACCCUACACUCAGACGAACUAUCCAUUCAGUUUUAUGUCCUCCUUUCAAACGGCGAUGAACAUAGACAACUAUAGGGGAUGAAAUGAGAAUGAGGGCCUAAAAAUUUCCCUUCCAUUUCUUUGUUUGGCUACCUAGAAAAAGGAAAUCCAAACAAAUCUUGACUGUAAGUAUCAAAGUCAUAUUUGAAAGUUUUAUCAAAACAUUUUUUUAAAUUGUUUUUACUUUAAAAACUACUUUGAAUAGGUCAAAUAUGAAAAGUGUUGCUAAAUGUAACUUCCUAUUGUAAAAAAUACAAAAAAAUAAAUAAAUAAAUAAAUAAAAAUUGAAGUGUUUGGUUAACUUUAAAUAGAAAAUUGUAUUUUGAGAAUUUAUUUUAAAAAUAAAUUUGAGAUGUCUAUUUUUAGUAAUGUUGUUAUUAACAAUUCAAAAUAUCAAUAAUACUUUGAAAUGUUUUUUUAUUAUACAUAAGUGUGUGAUACUUUCGUCAAUAAGCCAAAAAUAUUUUUUUUCAUGUUUAAAACCAAUUGAAAGUUGUUUUUAAAUUCUUGUUUGGAUGGAUGUUUGAGAAAUUAAGAAAUCUUUCUUAAGUUCAAUUAAGACAUGUAUGCCUCUUUAACUUAUUUUGUUGAAAGAGUUCAAAUAUAAAAAUAAAAAUUUGACUAAAUAUAUUUAACUCUAUAGGUUUGAAAUUUCAUUUAAUACAUUUUCUAUCCUUUUCAUUCCUUAUUUUCACUCACCCCCAUUUUCAUUCAAAAUAAGAGAGGAUGUCAUAAUCCUUAUUAGGAUUAAGGAACAAAACUGAAAUAGGGACAAUGUUGAGAAAGCUAAGGAAUUGUCUUCUAAGGCUAAUGUAGUAGAAGAAAAACCUAAACCCAAAAACAAUAGGUCCAAGAAACAAAACUCUAAGACCAAGCCCAAUGCAUCAAACAAGGUCCAAAACUCAACUAUUAAAAAACAGUGUAAUUGCUUUGUCUGUGGCAAGUUUGGACCCAUGCAACUCAAUGUCGCCACAGGAAGAAAAUUGAGAAGUCCAAUUCAAAGGCAAAUCUGGAAGAGGCAGAUGUGAUCACAACAGUAAUCUCCUCUGAGGUGAGCAUGGUCACCAAUAUAAAGGACUGGGUGGUAGACUCUGGGGCUACCAUGCACAUCUGUGGGAAUAAAAGUGCAUUUACUUCCUAUACCACUGUAAAGGAAGGAGAUGAACAAGUGUUCAUGGGUGAUUCUAGAUCUACUCUAGUGAUUGGCAAAGGGAAAGUUCUCCUCAAGCAAAUAGUUUUAACCAAGAAUGAUGCAUUUGUGGGAAAGGGCUAUUGUCAUCAAGUUUUAUUUAUGUUGAAUGUUUAUGAUAUUAUCAAUAAUAAUGCAUCUUCUUCUUUUUCUUCUUACAUAGUUGAUUCUUGUGAUAUUUCGCAUGGUAGACUAGGACAUGAACUUUUCAUAUAUGAAGAAAAUGGUUAAAUUGAGUUUAAUCCCUAAAUUGUCCUUAGAGAAACCAUAAAAAUGUGAAUCUUGUGUAGAAUCUAAAACCACAAAGAAAUCUUGCAAAUCAGUUGAAAGAGAAUCAGAUCUACUAAGUUUAAUACACAGUGACUUAAGAGACCUAAAAAAUACAAUGACUAGAGAUGGUAAACAAUUCUACAUAACUUUCAUAGAUGACUACUCAAGGUAUACAAGGGUAUAUCUUUUGAGAAACAAAGAUAAAGCAAGAGAUGUUUUCAUCAAGUACAAAAAUGAAGUAGAAAGUCAACAAAGUAAGAAAAUUAAAAGGCUUAGAACUGAUAGAGGAGGAGAGUAUGAGUCCAACCCCUUUAAUUCUUUUUGUGAAGAUCAUAGGAUCAUUCACGAAACUAUUCCUCCUUAUUCCCCUGAGUCUAAUGGAGUAACAGAAAUGAAAAAUAGUACCUUAAAAGAAAUGAUGAAUGCAAUGUUGGUAAGUUCAGGAACACCCUUGAACUUGUAGGGGAAAGCUAUCGUAUCUGCUUAUCUUAUUCAAAAUAGAAUGCCUUACAAGAAAACUAGUAAAACUCCUUAUGAGUUGUGGAAGGGUUAUGCACCUAAUAUAGUAUACCUGAAAGUGUGAGGGUGUUUAGCUAAAGUUCUUAUCCUUGAACCUAAAAAAUGAAAACUAGGUCCUAAAACCUUUGGCAAUGCUGAGAAUAGUGCGGCAUAUAGGUUUCUUGUUACUAAGUAAGAAAAUAGUCUUGUAGAUGUCAAUACUAUAAUAGAAACAAAGAAUGCAUAUUUCUUUGAAACAUAUUUCCUAUGAAACUAAAUGGUGAAAUACAAGUUGAGAAAAUAAGUAGAGACAAGUUUAUUGAACCUUUUGAAUUUGAACUUAGAAGGAGUAAAAGAGAUAGGAAAUAAACAAACCUUGGAGAUGGUUUAUACACCUUCCUAAUAGAUGAUGACCUUAGAUCCUACAAAGAAGCUAUAACUUCUCUUGAUGCACCAUUCUAGAAGGAGGCCAUUAACAAUGAAAUCGAAUCAAUCAUGUAUAACCAUACAUGGAAGUUAGUAUAUUUACCUCUUGGUGCAAAGACUAUUGGUUGUAAAUGGAUCUUUAAAAGAAAGUUAAAACAAGAUGGGCUCAUAGAAGUAUAAAGAUUGUUUAGUUGCCAAAGACUUUAAACAAAGGAAGAAUGUAGAUUACUUUGACACAUUUACCCCUAUGACUAGAAUAACAUCAAUUAGAGUAUUGAUCGCUCUAGCUUCCAUUCAUAAUUUGGUGAUACACCAAAUGGAUGUCAAGACUGCAUUCUUGAAUGGGUAUUUGGAAGAAGAAUUUUAUAUGGAUCAACCUAAGGGUUGUGUAGUUCCAGAGAAGAAGAAAAAGGUGUGUAAGUUGGUUAAAUCAUUAUAUGGGUUAAAACAAGCUCCCAAACAAUGGCACAACAAGUUUGAUCAUGUGUUUGUAACUAAUGGAUAUUCCAUUAAUGAUACUGAUAAGUGUAUCUAUAGCAAGUAUGAGGAUAACACAUAUGUAGUCAUCUACCUUUAUGUUGAUGACAUGUUGAUCUUUGGAACUAGCCUAGAGGUUCUGUGUGAGACCAAGAAAUUCCUAGGUUCUAAGUUUGAUAUGAAAGACCUAGGAGAGUUAGAGGUGAUUCUAGGAAUUACAAUAACUAGAACACCUAAUGGGUUUAAAUUCUCUCAAGAGCAUUAUGUUGAAAAUAUCCUAAGGAAGUUUGAACACUUUGAUUGUAAACUAGUGUCAACUUCUUAUGAUCCUAGCUCACAGCUGAAGAAAAAUAGAGAACAUAGAUUUGCCUAAAUAGAGUAUGCUCAUAUCAUAGGGAAUCUAAUGUACUUAAUGAACUGUACCAGACCUGACAUUGCUUAUGCAAUAGGUAGAUUAAGUCAGUACACCCAAAGUCCUAAUCAGAACCAUUGGAUUAUUGUUCGUAGAGGCCUUAAGUAUUUGAGAGGCACCUUUAACUAUGGUUUGUGCUUUAGUGGAUUUCCAAGUGUCCUUAAAGGAUUUAGGAUUAGAUGAAAUCCACUAUUGGAUAUGUUUUCAUCCUUGGUGGAAGUGUAGUUUCUUGGAAGUCUGCCAAACAAACUUGCAUUACUCGAUCUACUAUGGAGGCUGAGUUUAUUGCCUUAGAAAACAAAAGUUCUGAGGCUGAGUGGCUUAGAAACUUCUUAGCAGAUAUUCCUCUAUGGAUGAAACCAAUCCCGUCUGUGUCUAUGCAUUGUGAUAGUCAAGCUACAAUUGCUAAGGCUAAGAGUAAAAUAUUUAAUGGGAAGAACAGGCAUAUACGACUAAGGCACAAUAUUGUCUGACAACUGCUUGAAAUAGAGGUUAUAUCCCUAGAAUUUGUGAGGUCAGAGUUGAAUUUGGUCGAUCCUUUGACCAAACCACUAAAUAAGAAACUAGUGGAAGAAACAUCGAGGAGGAUGAGGCUUAUGCCUAUUACAGAACUCAAGAGUGGUGGUAACCCAACCUAUUAGAAUGGAAAAGUCCAUGAAAUAGGUUCAUAUGGGUAAUAACAAAUCACUUGUUGACUUGAGGUGCUCUAUCAACUCUAAUUGUAUGAAAGUUUAUCCCUAUGGUGUAGAUAGAGUGUAUUCUGCAUUGAUUAAGGUUGAGUGUUUACUCUUAAUGAAUACCAUAUUCCUUAUGGAUGGUAUGUUUAAUGUAGAACAUACUUGAUGGAUUCACCUAUAUGAGAGUGGAGGUGGAGCCACUUCCUAUGAGAACUUAGGUAGAUUCUCUGGAGCUCUCAUGAAUAUCCAAGCAGAGCACAUGACCUAUUUGUGCUAACCCGUUCUGUUCAACUCGUAGUGAAGUUGAGAAAACCAAUGUGGAUAAAAGUCCCUUGAGUUACAUCAAGAAACACUGGCUCAUAGAAAUUUAUUUUCACUCUGUUUUGUGAUUUAAUACUUAUUUGUCCUAAGACUAGUUCAUAGCCUUUGGGCACCAGUACUGAUGCAUUGGAUUCUUUUUUCCUCAAAAAAAAAAAAAAAAAUCACAUUUACACUCUGUGGGGAACUGUAGAAAGAGUGUAAAUAAUUUUUAUUUUUAUUUUAUUUUAUUUUAUUUUAUUUUAUUCUAUUAAUCUUAUAUUUUUUAGAAGAAUCCUAUUGGGAAUUAUUUUUAUUUUAUUUUAUUCUAUUAGUCUUUUAUUUUUUGGAAGAGUCCUAUUGGGAUUGUGCUAGUGAAGUCUCAUUUCUUUUAUAAGUAGAAUCCUCUUCCACUUUGAGUCAUGUUCUAAUUACAAGUAGAGUCCCAUUGAGAUUGUUUUAGUAGCCUAUAAAAGCAGCUCACCCCUCACUCUCUAAAUACGAACACCAAUUUUUCAGAGAAUUUUUUAGAGAGUUUUUCAGAGUCUUUUCAUACAUCUACCUGGAGGAAUUUUUUUCAAUGUACACAUCUUGCUUACAAAGUGUACCCAAGGCAAGAUUUGGUUGUUGAAUCUUGGAGGUAGACCACUAGUACCCUAGUGCAUCGAGUUCUUAUUCGAGGAGGGUGGAUUUAUUUCAAGGACAAUGUUUAUCACGCCUCAGCCAAUAAGUUUUUCUUCUUAUUAAUUCUGUUCUUUGUUUGUGUCUUUUAGGCUAGUCAUUUGUUUCCAUACCCUUAACUCCAACAAUGCACACAUACAAAUACAUGCUCCCAUAGCUUCAUUUCCAAAUUGAAAGUCACCAAAUACCACUUCUCCUCAUAAUAGAUUUUGAUGCCACUUGUUCAGAAACUCCACUGUCAUCUCGGAGUUUCUCCAAUUAUGUUUAUAUAAGUGUGUGUAUAUAUGUGCGCAUGCGCAUAUGUUUAUGUUCUGUGAGUAGAUGAGCACACUCAUCCUGAUUGAAUUGCCCACUUAUGAAUGUGAAUUUUCUUAUAGGAAUUGGCUACUCACUUGAUCCAGAUUUCUCCUUUGUGAAGAUUGUUGCACCUCAUGCACAGGUUCCAUUCAUUUCCAUAAUAAUUUUAUGCAUUUUUUUUCCUCAUAUACUUCUCUAAUGCUUUUAGUUUAGCUCUACUGAUUCACACUGUAUAUAGGAGCUUUUAGAUAUACGACAGCAACGACGAACUGGACCAUAACUUGUGCAGGAGAUAAGGAAACAAGCAGACGAUGUAUUCUACUCUCUUCCCUUCUCACUUCAGUUCCUUCUGAAAAUUGAUGUUUCUUCAUUUCACAUUCUACGACACAACUAUGAUACACACUAUCAAAAGACUAAAAUUUCCCCAUAUGAACAUGUUUAGGCCAGAACCUACAUCAUGUCAUUGCCAUCCAUACAGUGUUCAGAGAAUAGAAGAAUUUGUGAAACAACUUGAAUUAAGAGACCUGAAACUUCGAGUUCGAGUACUUGAGGUAGCUCAUCCACUAAAUAUUUUAGAAGAAAUAAUUACCAUUUUUGAGACUUUGUGGGAAGUUCUGAAGAGUGACUAUUCUUGAGAGCUCAAACCCUCAUGAGAUGAACUCAACAUUAUUUUGGUUUGGGAUUGAAAAUUGUCUGAAAGACCAGCUCGGAAGGCAACCAUACUACAGAUGGCUACUAUUAGCCCCUUAGCCCCUUAACUCAAUUUUGGAGGAAUAGAGCCUAGACUGAGAGUAAGGAUGGCCUAAAGGUUUGGUGGUUCAAACCCUAGAAGCUAAGAUGAGAAGGCCAUGUGCUAGCCAGACGCGCACCACGGGCGAGCCAGACGUGCAUCGUGGGUGAGCUAGAUGCGCACCGCGAGCAAGCCAAACGUGCACCAUGGGUGAGCCAGACAGGCACUAAGCAGGCACCACUUGCGCACCAGGCAAGUACUAUGCGUACACUAGGCAUAUGUUGGUUAUGGAGCUGGUGUAGAUAAAGGGUGAGGUUCAUUUUGGAAUGUAAUUUAUAAUUAUUUAAAUAUCCCAUUAUGUCUCCUCAAACAUGGGUGAUGUCUCUUCCAAAAAUUUUGAAAAUGGCAUGUAUUGCUCUUGAAGUGGGGGAGGGGGGUAGGUGACUCGAGGGGGCACCAUGGGAAAGCCUUAACCGCGCCAAGGGAGCACCAUGACAUGACCUUGGCCGUGCCUAGGACACACGAAUGGCACUCAAGCAUUCACACAUGGGCUCCAUGACAUGUGUGGUGUGCACCCCGUGGCCGCAACGACACGGCACAGGCACGAGGGCGCCUAAGCCUUGUGCAAUGAGACAGCUAAGGAAGCCAUGGGCACAAUGCCAUGGUCUAAUGGGGUACUAGAAUGUGCAGCUGAUUCGAUGGGGCCUACGCAUGGCACAACGACACAAUGCCCUGUGCACUAAGAAUGAACAACCAUGGCCGCAAUGCCAUGGCUCGUUGCUAUGGAGUUGGACUUGAUAAUGGGAGCUAAACAUGUGCCUAGGCCAUGGGCACCUCGACAUGGCAUGGGUUAACACAUUAGUGUGGGGAAGACAUACUAAGGCACUAGGCAGCUGAGGCACCUGGUCAGCUAGGUGGUACAUGCGGCUGGUCAAGAGGGCAGCUAGCUAGUGCAACUAACUAGUGACAACUAGUUGGGGCAACAAGUGAUCAGGUCAACAGUUAGCUACAAUGGAUAGGCAGAUGGUUGAGGACUGAUGGUUGGUGCAAAGAGACACAUUGGGCUGAAGGAGUGUCUCUAGCUGGGUAGCUCCAUGAAAAGCUCACCAGUUGGGUGGUUAUGCAAGCAGUUGUGGCCGGUUGUGGCCAGUUGCAUAACCACCAAACUGGUUUCAUGGGUUUUGAACUUUGAAAUUUGAAUUGUAACUUGCAGGCAUGUCUUUUAAAAGGGGGCCUCUUGCAUCCUUGAGACAGAGAUGAUAGAUAAGGAUGGUUCUCUGAAUGCUUAGGGGUGUAAGCAUUGUACUCUGACUUAGGGAAAACGAUUUUGUAUCUUGUAGUGAGUGAAAAAAUACAAGUUGGGAAGGGUUCUCGUAAUUGUAAUUGUCUGUUACUCUAUUUUUCUAAAGACUGGGAAGGAAGGUUGGCUAAGGAAGGGUACUUAGCACCGCACACUUAGUGAAAAAAAUUUAUUAAUAUUCUAGGGUGUGACCACUACCAUGUAUACAGUUUUUGGAGGUACCCUACUAAACCUUGGCAUCACAUUAGCCAAUCAAGGCAGUCAAGUUAUUUCAAAUGGAUCGUAUGUUGGUGUAGGUAAACUGUUUUUAACCCCGAAAACUUUCACACUCAAAUAUUUCUUCCUCUUGCCUCUAGACAUUUUCAAGUUUGCCUUCAUCAACUUCCCUGUGGCUGAAAUAUCUAGUUUUGUUAAAAUGCAUGCGUUUUCUUGAUAUUGUUUAUUAGGUCCAUGAAAAGAGUGAAAAGAUAGAUAAAUUUGAGAAGAUAAUAUGAUUUUCAAUCCUAGAACUCAUGGACAGUCUGUUUUAGUUGUAAAAUAAUUUAACCUCCGAUUCUUGGUAAUAUAAUUGUCCUAAAAUUUUCAAACUUGCAUAUAAGAGCUCUAUACACUACACGUAGGAAAUGAUUCAAGAUGAAAAAAAUCUAUGCAACAGAAAUCCAGAUCU